AGCGAACGCUGGCGGCAGGCCUAGUACAUGCAAGUCGAACGGCUCUUCGGAGCAGUGGCGGACGGGUGAGUAACACGUGGGAACGUGCCCUUUGGUACGGAACAACUGAGGGAAACUUCAGCUAAUACCGUAUGUGCCCCCAUUCUUAGCGGGAUGGGUGGGAAAGAUUUAUCGCCAUUGGAGCGGCCCGCGUUGGAUUAGCUAGUUGGUGGGGUAAAGGCCCACCAAGGCUACGAUCCAUAGCUGGUCUGAGAGGAUGAUCAGCCACACUGGGACUGAGACACGGCCCAGACUCCUACGGGAGGCAGCAGUAGGGAAUCUUGCGCAAUGGGCGAAAGCCUGACGCAGCCAUGCCGCGUGAAUGAUGAAGGUCUUAGGAUUGUAAAAUUCUUUCACCGGGGAAGAUAAUGACGGUACCCGGAGAAGAAGCCCCGGCUAACUUCGUGCCAGCAGCCGCCGCAG
rnacentral:rRNA from 1 species